UACGUAGGGUGCGAGCGUUAAUCGGAAUUACUGGGCGUAAAGCGUGCGCAGGCGGUUUUGUAAGCCAGAUGUGAAAUCCCCGGGCUUAACCUGGGAAUGGCAUUUGGGACUGCAAGGCUCGAGUGCGGCAGAGGAGACUGGAAUUCCCGGUGUAGCAGUGAAAUGCGUAGAUAUCAAGUGGAACACCAGUGGCGAAGGCGAGUCUCUGGACAUUUCCUGACGCUGAGGCACGAAAGCCAGGGGAGCAAACGGG
rnacentral:rRNA from 1 species